CUGGAGAUACACAAAACUCAUCUGGAAAAAUCCAAAGCAACUUGAUCUAAUGAUGUGAACCCUGCUUUGAACAGAAGGUUUGACCAAAUGAACUCUGUGAUAUGAAAACAGAAUACUUUUCCUGAUAUUUCAUGAAAUAAUAUGAUAAAAUACUGCUGGAGACUCACAAGGAAAACAAGUUAUGCAGAAGGGAAAUCCACAUGACUGGAUCAUUAGAAGGGUUCCCCAGCACGUGUAGCCCCCAGCAAGGACCAUGGGCAACUGUCCUGAAUGACUCAUCUAAAAAGAAAGAAGAUAUGCAUUCUUAG
rnacentral:lncRNA from 1 species